rnacentral:misc_RNA from 1 species
UCAGGUAGGGAUACCCGCUGAACUUAAGCAUAUCAAUAAGCGGAGGAAAAGAAACCAACAGGGAUUGCCCUAGUAACGGCGAGUGAAGCGGCAACAGCUCAAAUUUGAAAUCUGGCGUCUUUGGCGUCCGAGUUGUAAUUUGCAGAGGGCGCUUUGGCAUUGGCAGCGGUCCAAGUUCCUUGGAACAGGACGUCACAGAGGGUGAGAAUCCCGUACGUGGUCGCUAGCCUUUACCGUGUAAAGCCCCUUCGACGAGUCGAGUUGUUUGGGAAUGCAGCUCUAAAUGGGAGGUAAAUUUCUUCUAAAGCUAAAUACUGGCCAGAGACCGAUAGCGCACAAGUAGAGUGAUCGAAAGAUGAAAAGCACUUUGGAAAGAGAGUUAAAAAGCACGUGAAAUUGUUGAAAGGGAAGCGCUUGCAGCCAGACUUGCCUGUAGUUGCUCAUCCGGGUUUUUACCCGGUGCACUCUUCUAUAGGCAGGCCAGCAUCAGUUUGGGCGGUUGGAUAAAGGUCUCUGUCAUGUACCUCUCUUCGGGGAGAACUUAUAGGGGAGACGACAUGCAACCAGCCUGGACUGAGGUCCGCGCAU